rnacentral:rRNA from 1 species
AGAAUCAACGCUGGCGGCGUGCCUAACACAUGCAAGUCGAACGAGAAAGUGGAGCAAUCCAUGAGUAAAGUGGCGCACGGGUGAGUAACACGUGACUAACCUACCUUUUAGUGGGGGAUAACCUAGGGAAACCUGGGCUAAUACCGCAUAACACUUACGAGUCAAAGCAGCAAUGCGCUGAAAGAGGGGGUCGCGGUCGAUUAGUUAGUUGGCGGGGUAAUGGCCCACCAAGACUGUGAUCGGUA